UCCUGGGCAUCUCUCCUCCCUGUGCCAGCCACCCCUGAGCUGGCUCGGCCUAGGCUGGUUUUGUGCGAGGGCUCCCAGCCCUGGCUGCGGAGCUGCCCUGCAGAUAGGCAAACUGCAGAGCAGAUCGGGAGACUGGAUAGCUGCUGGAACAACUUCAGACCUUUUUCUCCUGUCUCACUCUACAAAGAACCAAGUGGUUCUUCGGGGUCUGCACACUCUCAGCUCCCACAGACUGCAGGCAGGGCCCUUUCCAGCCCUUCGGAUCUCACCUGGAUUAGCUGUGCUUGGAAGCUGCUCGUCUCAAGGUUGUCUGCCUUUCACUUGGUGGUAAAACAAACAGGUAACUUCAUUGUUAACCUCGGUGAAACAAACCUACUAAUUCAACACAGAGAGGGACCAGGGGUUUCAGUUACUAAGUUGCUUUCUCACCCAUGGAGAUUAAUUUCUGCCAGCCAGCAUUGCAGCAAGCAGAUAGGAAUCUGGCACUCACUUUGUCCUGCAGAUGAGUUGGGACUCAACAGUAGGCUUUCAAUCAAAGACUCACUUUGACCUUUUUCUCUUUCUUCUCCUCUGCUAAAUGAUCUUGAGAGCUCGUUUAACCAACAGCUAUAUUGGACUUUUAUGCUUUAACAUUUAAAAGUAAACCUUAAAUGUUUAGAAGGAGAAGUUUAUUUCCUAAGGUUAAACUCCUGGCAAUGUGCUUUACCUUCAUAGCUGCUGGGCUUCUUUAUGCUCGGGAUCACUCUUCAGCAAUAUGCCUGUGUCAAAAGAAGACUCAGACAUGGAAAUAUUCAUUAACAUGUUUAUUUGUUUACCUUCAAAGACAGCACAUUUUAUUUACCUGUAGGCAUACAUGUAGAAAAUACAAAGAUAUUAUAGAGAAAUGAUGUCAAACAAGACACAGUUUUAUUUUUUCUUUAAAGUCCUCAUUCUCUUCUUUGUAGUUGUUGUCUUCAGAAACAUUUCAUGAAAUCUCAAGACAAAAUCCUUGAUGUACACCAUUUCUGAAGGCUGCUGAGUUCUGACCUCAUGUAAUAGCCAAGUCUUACAUACCUACUUAUGACUUUACCCUAUUUCUUGCAUUUUUACAUGUAUAUUAUUGUUUCUUUCAGUUAGUCUACUUUUUCCUAGCAGGAAACUAAAAUGUGGCUUUAGUAAUAUCUACCAUCAAUCUUAUUUAUUCCAUCUAUUUCUAGGUAAUUAUAUAUAGUGUAUUUCUUAGUCUACAUUUGGAUGGUCUAUUUAGAGAUGAUUGGAUCCCUUCCAGAAUAGCAAUGACCUUUCUGUGACUCAAACAUUAAUUUUCCAAAUGGGUUCACAGGUAAAUGGUGAAAUACCUUAUAUAUCAUCAUAAUUAACAAGAUAUACCUUAUUAAUGAUUAGAAAACAUGCUUUUCAUAAUUAUAAACAGAAUCCUUUCUGAGGUACAAGCUUACCCUCUGCUAGGAAUUGUUAAUCAAUACCAUCAGAUAGAUCUAACAGCAAAACCUUCUAAAAUCCUAUUCCAAAAGCAGUCUUAAUUGCGAGGUCUCACAUACCACAGGCAGACGCAUUACUCAGAUUUUAAAGACAUCAAUAUUACCACUUCAGAACUAUUCAGAGUCUGAUCUGCUAUAAUGUGUUUGACAAGUCUCUGUUUUGAAACAGACAACUGGCAUUACGAUCUACAUUGAUUUACCUGCUUUCCUAACUUCAUUAAAGCCAACUAUUCCUAUAAUUUCUUAGCGCACAGAAAAGCCUGCAACUUGGUUCUACCUCUCUCAUGAGUAUUCUUUUCUGAUCAUAAUGUUUUGAAGGAAAGGGAAUUAGAGGCUUUUUAGAAAAACGUGGAGGAACAGUAGCAAUGAUAAUGAACCCGGCAGAGCAGAAAAAGAUUCUGUUCCAUAUGAGGAGCUCCUUAAAGAAAUCACAGUCUCCCUCACAUAAAGAGAGGAAGAACCAAAGUUCCCUAAUUGGAACUAAUUGGAGUUCUGAUCUCAUGAGUAUCUGAGCAGCAGGACUAUGUCUGGCAAGAGAUCACCAAAGGCAAGUGGCGUUGGAAGAGGCACUGGUAAUUCAGUCAGUGGCAAUCUUUCUGAAGUAGCGGUGAGUCACUAGCUCAGCCAAGCAGUGGUGAGAGCUGUGCUUUCAGCCGGAGCAUGUGGGAUAUUAGGAUGAGGCCUGUCCACUAGCCACAGAGCUCUGACUGUUUCUAACAGCUGAGAGGCUCAAUCCAGGAACCCAUCCAAAUUAUAAUGUAUGGAACUACUCUCUGUCUAACCACCUUGCCCCAUUGAUUGGAAGUGGAAAGCACAGCCAUUGUUUUUCCACUAAAAAAGUCCGCAAGGAGCAGAACAAUAGCUACAUGCUGCCAGCCAGACAGCUACUCGUCAGACAAAUAGUUACUGGGAUGGGAGGCAGGUACAUUUAGCUCAAUAAACAACAUUUUAUCCAGGAGCUUCCUGACUGA
rnacentral:lncRNA from 1 species